CCUGUGGAGGGAAGGGGACAGGCAGGCGUCAGGCCCUGGCGGGGGCUCCCCUGGGAGCCCCUCCCAGAUUUAAUUUCCCACCGCUGUGGGGAAAUCUCCCAAGUUUCAGUGCAGGACUCAAGGACAGGCACAGCGACACCAUGAGCCGCAGUGAGCUAUUCACCACCAUCCCCCCGACCUCCGCUGCGCCUGCACCCGCCUCGCUUUGUUCAACCAGCCGAACCAAACCCCACAGCCCCUGACCUAAAGGGACGAGUGAGCAACGUGCUGCGAGCAGCCCGGCCGCGUGGGGGGCUCGGAGGAGGCGCCCAAAGCUUGCUGCUGGGUUUCCCUGAGAAACCACCAGGGCUGGAGACGCCUCUGAAGGUACCUGAGGGACUUUUGCUGGAAGAAAUGGGGAGAAAAUGUGCUCUUUUUACUUUUGUUCAGAGCUCUGACUUGGCUUCACCUCUGUCUCCUUUGCCAGUGGAUUUCCAGGGCUCUUAGGGGAAGAGCUAGCACACAGUGAUGGGAAGAGCAGAGGAUGACAAACGCGUUGUCCUGGGCUCUCGGCGCACCUCCCACUCCAGGAAACUCCUGCAGGUGGUAGGGCUGGGAGCAGAGGACAGCGUUACCCUCGGCCACGCUCUGAGCCGCAAAUGCAGGGGCAGCAGGGAGUGACCGGUCUGUAAUUGCCGGGUCUGUGCACAAACCCGUGCAAUCACAAAUGACCAACUUAAUUCCUGCAUGGCACAUCUCUCGGAAUACAGAGCAGAAAUGCGACUGCAGUGGUAAAGGAGGAAAAAAAAAAAAAAAAAGGCGGUCAGAUCCCAGCCUAAUAACUGAGUGCAAUUAUCAGGUCCUAGGCUACCAGGUAAUACAACGAGAGCAAUGAGGAGGUGAAUACAAUGAUCCAGAAGAGCAGUAAGUGGAAAAACAGCUGUUGUACCCUGAGAGGCUCCUGAAAGAGCGUAUGACUGAUGCUUUCAAAAUGAUAAAAGGAAUUAGAAAGAGUAAACACAGCUACGUUGGUGCUAAAGCUGAGAUUCAGAGCGCAGCCCGAUGGAGAGGGAGCUGACACGCCAGGCUUUUAAAAUAUGGCACCUGGGCUGAAAUUAUUUAUUGCACGGGGCGUGUAACACGCUUCCCAAUUGUUUGUCACAGGCGACAGAGGAAUCAUGUUAACGAAGCUAUAACCUGUCGUGGGGUGAGGGGGAUUUUCUCAUUUGCCCCGAAACGCAGCGUGUUCAGCUCCCCGAUGUGUGUGGCCCCUCCACGAGGCUGAGAUGAGGACCUGCUGUUAGCUGCUGGCUGUGCAAGGCAGGAUUUGGCCUCAGGGCUCCUGCCCCCAAAAAGCAUCUGCUGGUUGAGUUCCCAGCCCGAGGAAUGACCCGAGUGGGGGUCCCACACCUGCCUGCCCUCGGGGGAUGCCCGGGGUGCGUGGAUUAAUGGAAGCGGGUUAAUUAAAUGCUGCGAAACACCUAUGUGGCUAACCUCAGAGUGAAGGCAGUCCUCGUUGAAUUUACUGUCAUUUCAUCGUGAGAUAGCAGACAAACCACAUCUGGGCUCUAGUAAGCGUGUCUACCUGGGGGCUCCAUGCAACUCCAUCAUUCCCCCAAC